rnacentral:rRNA from 1 species
UACGAGGGGGGCGAGCGUUGUUCGGAAUUAUUGGGCGUAAAGGGCGCGUAGGCGGUCGGAUAAGUCUUGUGUGAAAUCUUCGGGCUCAACUCGAAGUCUGCACAGGAAACUAUCUGGCUUGAGUGUGGGAGAGGUGAGUGGAAUUCCUGGUGUAGCGGCGAAAUGCGUAGAUAUCAGGAGGAACACCUGUGGCGAAAGCGGCUCACUGGACCACAACUGACGCUGAGGCGCGAAAGCUAGGGGAGCAAACAGG